rnacentral:rRNA from 1 species
CCUACGGGAGGCAGCAGUGAGGAAUAUUGGACAAUGGGCGAGAGCCUGAUCCAGCCAUGCCGCGUGCAGGAAGACUGCCCUAUGGGUUGUAAACUGCUUUUAUACAGGAAGAAUAAGCCUUACGUGUAAGGUGAUGACGGUACUGUAAGAAUAAGGACCGGCUAACUCCGUGCCAGCAGCCGCGGUAAUACGGAGGGUCCGAGCGUUAUCCGGAAUUAUUGGGUUUAAAGGGUCCGUAGGCGGAUGAUUAAGUCAGGGGUGAAAGUUUGCAGCUCAACUGUAAAAUUGCCUUUGAUACUGGUUAUCUUGAGUUGUAUUGAAGUAGGCGGAAUAUGUAGUGUAGCGGUGAAAUGCAUAGAUAUUACAUAGAACACCAAUUGCGAAGGCAGCUUACUAAGUACUAACUGACGCUGAUGGACGAAAGCGUGGGUAGCGAACAGGAUUAGAUACCCUGGUAGUCCACGCCGUAAACGAUGGAUACUAGCUGUUCGACCAACAUGGGUUGGUUGAGUGACUAAGCGAAAGUGAUAAGUAUCCCACCUGGGGAGUACGCUCGCAAGAGUGAAACUCAAAGGAAUUGACGGA